rnacentral:rRNA from 1 species
UACGUAGGGUGCGAGCGUUGUCCGGAAUUACUGGGCGUAAAGAGCUCGUAGGUGGUUUGUCGCGUUGUUCGUGAAAACCGGGGGCUUAACCUCUGGCGUGCGGGCGAUACGGGCAGACUGGAGUACUGCAGGGGAGACUGGAAUUCCUGGUGUAGCGGUGGAAUGCGCAGAUAUCAGGAGGAACACCGGUGGCGAAGGCGGGUCUCUGGGCCGUAACUGACGCUGAGGAGCGAAAGCGUGGGGAGCGAGCAGG